rnacentral:rRNA from 1 species
GACGAACGCUGGCGGCGUGCUUAACACAUGCAAGUCGAACGAUGAAGCCUAGCUUGCUAGGUGGAUUAGUGGCGAACGGGUGAGUAAUACGUGAGUAACCUACCUUUAACUCUGGGAUAAGCCCGGGAAACUGGGUCUAAUACCGGAUACGACCAAUCUCCGCAUGGGGUGUUGGUGGAAAGCGUUAUGUAGUGGUUAUAGAUGGGCUCACGGCCUAUCAGCUUGUUGGUGAGGUAACGGCUCACCAAGGCGACGACGGGUAGCCGGCCUGAGAGGGUGACCGGCCACACUGGGACUGAGACACGGCCCAGACUCCUACGGGAGGCAGCAGUGGGGAAUAUUGCACAAUGGGCGCAAGCCUGAUGCAGCGACGCCGCGUGAGGGAUGACGGCCUUCGGGUUGUAAACCUCUGUUAGCAGGGAAGAAGAGAGAUUGACGGUACCUGCAGAGAAAGCGCCGGCUAACUACGUGCCAGCAGCCGCGGUAAUACGUAGGGCGCGAGCGUUGUCCGGAAUUAUUGGGCGUAAAGAGCUUGUAGGCGGUUUGUCGCGUCUGCUGUGAAGGCCGGGGCUUAACUCCGUGUAUUGCAGUGGGUACGGGCAGACUAGAGUGCAGUAGGGGAGACUGGAGUUCCUGGUGUAGCGGUGGAAUGCGCAGAUAUCAGGAGGAACACUGAUGGCGAAGGCAGGUCUCUGGGCUGUAACUGACGCUGAGAAGCGAAAGCAUGGGGAGCGAACAGGAUUAGAUACCCUGGUAGUCCAUGCCGUAAACGUUGGGCACUAGGUGUGGGGAACAUUCCACGUUUUCCGCGCCGUAGCUAACGCAUUAAGUGCCCCGCCUGGGGAGUACGGCCGCAAGGCUAAAACUCAAAGAAAUUGACGGGGGCCCGCACAAGCGGCGGAGCAUGCGGAUUAAUUCGAUGCAACGCGAAGAACCUUACCAAGGCUCGACAUAUACUGGACCGCAUCAGAGAUGGUGUUUCCCUUCGGGGCUGGUAUACAGGUGGUGUAUGGUUGUCGUCAGCUCGUGUCGUGAGAUGUUGGGUUAAGUCCCGCAACGAGCGCAACCCUCGUUCUAUGUUGCCAGCACGUAAUGGUGGGGACUCAUAGGAGACUGCCGGGGUCAACUCGGAGGAAGGUGGGGAUGACGUCAAAUCAUCAUGCCCCUCAUGUCUUGGGCUUCACGCAUGCUACAAUGGCCGGUACAGAGGGUCGCGAUACUGUGAGGUGGAGCUAAUCCCUAAAAGCCGGUCUCAGUUCGGAUUGGGGUCUGCAACUCGACCCCAUGAAGUCGGAGUCGCUAGUAAUCGCAGAUCAGCAACGCUGCGGUGAAUACGUUCCCGGGCCU